rnacentral:rRNA from 1 species
CCUACGGGUGGCAGCAGUGGGGAAUAUUGGACAAUGGGCGAAAGCCUGAUCCAGCCAUGCCGCGUGUGUGAAGAAGGCCUUCGGGUUGUAAAGCACUUUCAGUGGGGAAGAAAGCCUUGGGGCUAAUACCCUCGAGGAAGGACAUCACCCACAGAAGAAGCACCGGCUAACUCCGUGCCAGCAGCCGCGGUAAUACGGAGGGUGCGAGCGUUAAUCGGAAUUACUGGGCGUAAAGCGCGCGUAGGCGGUCUGAUAAGCCGGUUGUGAAAGCCCCGGGCUCAACCUGGGAACUGCAUCCGGAACUGUCAGGCUAGAGUGAAGGAGAGGAAGGUAGAAUUCCAGGUGUAGCGGUGAAAUGCGUAGAGAUCGGGAGGAAUACCAGUGGCGAAGGCGGCCUUCUGGACUGACACUGACGCUGAGGUGCGAAAGCGUGGGUAGCAAACAGGAUUAGAUACCCCAGUAGUC